UCAGGCCUAACACAUGCAAGUCGAGCGCGCCCUUCGGGGUGAGCGGCGGACGGGUUAGUAACGCGUGGGAAUAUACCCUUUGGUACGGAAUAGCCUCUGGAAACGGAGAGUAAUACCGUAUGAGCCCUUCGGGGGAAAGAUUUAUCGCCAAAGGAUUAGCCCGCGUUAGAUUAGGUAGUUGGUGGGGUAAUGGCCUACCAAGCCUACGAUCUAUAGCUGGUUUUAGAGGAUGAUCAGCAACACUGGGACUGAGACACGGCCCAGACUCCUACGGGAGGCAGCAGUGGGGAAUCUUGGACAAUGGGGGCAACCCUGAUCCAGCCAUGCCGCGUGAGUGAUGAAGGCCUUAGGGUCGUAAAGCUCUUUCGCCUGUGAAGAUAAUGACGGUAGCAGGUAAAGAAACCCCGGCUAACUCCGUGCCAGCAGCCGCGGUAAUACGGAGGGGGUUAGCGUUGUUCGGAAUUACUGGGCGUAAAGCGCACGUAGGCGGACUGGAAAGUUGGGGGUGAAAUCCCGGGGCUCAACCCCGGAACUGCCUCCAAAACUAUCAGUCUAGAGUUCGAGAGAGGUGAGUGGAAUUCCGAGUGUAGAGGUGAAAUUCGUAGAUAUUCGGAGGAACACCAGUGGCGAAGGCGGCUCACUGGCUCGAUACUGACGCUGAGGUGCGAAAGUGUGGGGAGCAAACAGGAUUAGAUACCCUGU
rnacentral:rRNA from 1 species